UCAGAUAAAACCUAAGCAGGGCCUGGGUCUGGUCAGUACUUGGAUUGGAGACAGCCUUGGAAAAAUAAGCAUUGAC
rnacentral:rRNA from 1 species